rnacentral:rRNA from 1 species
CCACCAAGGCAUCGACGGGUAGCUGGUCUGAGAGGACGAUCAGCCACACUGGGACUGAGACACGGCCCUUACUCCUACGGGAGGCAGCAGCUAGGAAUCUUGCGCAAUGGACGAAAGUCUGACGCAGCGACGCCGCGUGCGGGAUGAAGGCCCUAGGGUCGUAAACUGCUUUCAGCAGGGACGAAACUGACGGUACCUGCAGAAGAAGCCCCGGCCAACUACGUGCCAGCAGCCGCGGUAA